UAAUUGGAGAGUUUGAUCCUGGCUCAGAACGAACGCUGGCGGCGUGCCUAACACAUGCAAGUCGUACGAGAAAAUCCCCUUCGGGGGGUGAGUAAAGUGGCGAACUGGUGAGUAACACGUGGGUAAUUUGCCCUGAAGACUGGGAUAACCUCGGGAAACCGGAGCUAAUACCAGAUAAAUCCAUUUCGCAUAAGCGGAAUGGGUAAAGGUGGGGAUCUUCGGACCUACCGCUUUAGGAUAAGCCCGCGGCUGAUUAGCUUGUUGGUGGGGUAACGGCCUACCAAGGCGACGAUCAGUAGCCGGCCUGAGAGGGUGAUCGGCCACAUUGGGACUGAGAUAUGGCCCAGACUCCUACGGGAGGCAGCAGUGGGGAAUAUUGCGCAAUGGACGAAAGUCUGACGCAGCAACGCCGCGUGAGCGAUGAAGGCCUUCGGGUUGUAAAGCUCUGUCAGGAGGGAAGAAACCGCAGGAGAAGAUAACGCUUCUGCGCUGACGGUACCUCCAAAGGAAGCCACGGCUAACUCCGUGCCAGCAGCCGCGGUAAUACGGAGGUGGCAAGCGUUGUUCGGAAUUACUGGGCGUAAAGCGCGCGUAGGCGGUCCGUUAAGUCGGGAGUGAAAUCCCCGGGCUCAACCUGGGAACUGCUUUCGAUACUGGCAGACUAGAGGAUGGGAGAGGGAAGUGGAAUUCCUAGUGUAGCGGUGAAAUGCGUAGAUAUUAGGAAGAACACCGGUGGCGAAGGCGGCUUCCUGGCCCAUUCCUGACGCUGAGGCGCGAAAGCGUGGGUAGCAAACAGGAUUAGAUACCCUGGUAGUCCACGCCGUAAACGAUGGGUACUAGGUGUCGGGGGUGUCGACCCCCUCGGUGCCGUAGCUAACGCGUUAAGUACCCCGCCUGGGGAGUACGGCCGCAAGGCUAAAACUCAAAGGAAUUGACGGGGGCCCGCACAAGCGGUGGAGCAUGUGGUUUAAUUCGAUGCAACGCGAAGAACCUUACCAGGGCUUGACAUCCCGAGAACCUUCCUGAAAAGGAAGGGUGCCCUUCGGGGAACUCGGUGACAGGUGCUGCAUGGCUGUCGUCAGCUCGUGUCGUGAGAUGUUGGGUUAAGUCCCGCAACGAGCGCAACCCUCAUCCUUAGUUACUAACAUUCAGUUGAGGACUCUAAGGAAACUGUCUGCGACAAGCAGGAGGAAGGUGGGGACGACGUCAAGUCAUCAUGGCCCUUACGCCCUGGGCCACACACGUGCUACAAUGGGCGGUACAAAGGGUUGCGAACCCGCGAGGGGGUGCUAAUCCCAUAAAACCGUCCUCAGUUCAGAUUGCAGUCUGUAACUCGACUGCAUGAAGGUGGAAUCGCUAGUAAUCGUGGAUCAGCAUGCCACGGUGAAUACGUUCCCGGGCCUUGUACACACCGCCCGUCACACCAUGGGAGUCUGCUGUACCGGAAGUCACUGGGCUAACCCUUCGGGGAGGCAGGUGCCGAUGGUAUGGUCGGCGACUGGGGUGAAGUCGUAACAAGGUAGCCGUAGGAGAACCUGCGGCUGGAUCACCUCCUUU
rfam:Nitrospirae bacterium CG2_30_70_394 cg2_3.0_scaffold_541_c, whole genome shotgun sequence.